GAACAAACAACAAAUGACAAAACUCGAACGUCAAACAGCAAAUGUCGAAUAGCAAAUGUCAAUUAGCAAAUGUCAAAUUCUUUUAAGGUUAACGAAGAUAUUCGAAAACUUUGAUAAUCUAUUAAUGUACCUUGUAUGAAAGAUGAAAGAAUUAAUAAACACUUUAAAGAAGAGGAUGAGUGGCAUAAGUUACUUAGAAGAUCCGAAUCUAAAAACACCUUUUGAAAAUAAAAGAAAACAGAAUACCCACAAAGAAUACUCAAAAGAGGUCGGUUCAGGAGACGAAGAGGAA